AGAAUCAACGCUGGCGGCGUGCCUAACACAUGCAAGUCGAACGAGAAAGUGGAGCAAUCCAUGAGUAAAGUGGCGCACGGGUGAGUAACACGUGACUAACCUACCCUUGAGUGGGGGAUAACCUAGGGAAACCUGGGCUAAUACCGCAUAAUACCUUCGGGUCAAAGGAGCAAUUCGCUUUGGGAGGGGGUCGCGGCCGAUUAGUUAGUUGGCGGGGUAAUGGCCCACCAAGACAGUGAUCGGUAU
rnacentral:rRNA from 1 species